ACCCCUUUAAAAGCACUCGCUAGUGACCCAUUGAGCCGUCCAGAAAGGGAAGAGUAAAGACACCACUUUUGGGUGAAGCGACAGCAUGUUGUGUUGUUUGCUUCAAUCGGUGGUGUGACAAGU
rnacentral:snoRNA from 1 species